UCGACUGCAACCCUGGUGGCAAGGCCGGAAAAUCAAAGGAACCAGAAAAAAAAUCAAGAAAACCAGCACGUAGUGUUGCAGUGAUUAACAAAAGACCAACAUCAGCCAAAGAAGCGCGUAUUCUUUCUAAACGACUUGGGCGGACCAAGUUCUUAGGUCUAGGAGUCAAAGUUGUUGUCUGACUCUACUGCUUGACUACAGCAGUAUUCUAACCCCCCAAAUUCCUCCUGGGCUGACAAACGUCAACAAAGACCCCGAGAGACACCAAAGAGAGGGGAUCAACUCUCAGCCCUGGAGUUCAAGAGGAGUGCACCAUCCAGAAGGCAGCACGCACGGGUGCAAAAAGGCCUGUCCCAAGCCUGAUCCGGUGUCUGACAAAAAUGACUGGAAUUUCAAUUAGAAAGGAGAUCCAUGGCUUCUUUGCUGCCUGUCAUGCCUUCCUGUGUUCGACGCUGGAAUGUGUGCGCCCAGAUGGUCUGAUUGCCACUUCAGAACUCACAAAGUGUUCCAUAUCCAAACUGCAGUGUGGAGAAUUUUAAGUGUAGAGAGUUGGUGGAUGGACUUGGAGGAAGAUGUCAUGCUAAGGAUGGGUUUUGGUGAUGAUGUUGCUGCUGUUGAUGCAGCAUCGAGCUCUCACUUUGUGCCUCUGUCAGCUAUGAUGCGUAACCACAAAGUGAGUGACAGGCCAGUCCCAGGGGAGAGCAAGGGGCCUGAGAAGCACAGGCUCUUUUCAGAGGCGGCGAGGACAACUGACCGUCGUGAAGACACUGCUGGGAGCAGCCCUAUCUGCUCUAAUGGUAGUCACUGACCGUUAGACAUGGCGUUCAAAGACUAGUGGUGCAAGUAUGGAAAUGCAGAUAAGGCAUUGUUGAGGAAACAUGCCUGGGAAUUGUUCAAGGCUUUCCCUUGCAUAAUGUUGGAUGCUUUUGCAAAUGUUUUAAUCUCAAAACCCGUGAAUUUGAUCCUCCGUGAAUCUGAUUCUGAACAGCUCAUAGAACGAGUGGGUGUUUGUUAAGCAAUGCAAAUGAAUAACCUUUGUGAUUAAAUUUGUGAAUAUUUGACAUAUUGCAGCAUUUAUUUAAAACUAUUAUAGUAUGUAUUUCUCUUCUAGGCAAUUUUAGCCAGUAAUGCGUUUGGUUUUUUUGAGGCCUGCAGAGGCUCAGCAUUGAUUGACGGCCACAUUUACUGCUUUAGCCAGGCCUCAGUUGUUUUUUUUUCUGUAUUUUUAGAGCCAAAUAUGAACGCUUUGCUUCAUAUAAACAAGCUAGAAACUUGUUUGUGUAUAAUCUUCAAGCUUUAUUUACUCUUCUUUUGCAGUUUUCAGG